CACGCCGUAAACGAUGGGUACUAGGUGUAGGGGGUAUCGACCCCUUCUGUGCCGGAGUUAACACAAUAAGUACCCCGCCUGGGGAGUACGGCCGCAAGGUUGAAACUCAAAGGAAUUGACGGGGGCCCGCACAAGCGGUGGAGUAUGUGGUUUAAUUCGACGCAACGCGAAGAACCUUACCAGGAUUUGACAUCCCUUGACGAUGCAAGAGAUUGUAUCUGCAGUCUUCGGACUGCCAAGGAGACAGGUGG
rnacentral:rRNA from 1 species